GCAAGUCGAACGAGACCUUCGGGUCUAGUGGCGCACGGGUGCGUAACGCGUGGGAAUCUACCCUUAGGUACGGAAUAACUCAGAGAAAUUUGUGCUAAUACCGUAUGAUGUCGCAAGACCAAAGAUUUAUCGCCUAGGGAUGAGCCCGCGUAAGAUUAGCUUGUUGGUGAGGUAAAAGCUCACCAAGGCGACGAUCUUUAGCUGGUCUGAGAGGAUGAUC
rnacentral:rRNA from 1 species